CCUACGGGAGGCAGCAGUGAGGAAUAUUGGUCAAUGGACGCAAGUCUGAACCAGCCAUGCCGCGUGCGGGAUGACGGCUCUAUGGGUUGUAAACUUCUUUUGUACGAGCGUAAACUCCGGUACGUGUAUCUUUCUGUAAGUACCUUAUGAAUAAGGAUCGGCUAACUCCGUGCCAGCAGCCGCGGUAAUACGGAGGAUUCAAGCGUUAUCCGGAUUUAUUGGGUUUAAAGGGUGCGUAGGCGGUCGGAUAAGUUAGAGGUGAAAUCCCGAGGCUCAACCUCGGAAUUGCCUCUGAUACUGGUCGGCUAGAGAGUAGUUGCGGUAGGCGGAAUGUAUGGUGUAGCGGUUAAAUGCUUAGAGAUCAUACAGAACACCGAUUGCGAAGGCAGCUUACCAAGCUACUUCUGACGUUGAGGCACGAAAGCGUGGGGAGCAAACAGGAUUAGAUACCCCAGUAGUC
rnacentral:rRNA from 1 species